rnacentral:rRNA from 1 species
GUGGGGAAUAUUGGGCAAUGGGCGAAAGCCUGACCCAGCAACGCCGCGUGAAGGAAGAAGGUUUUCGGAUCGUAAACUUCUAUCCUUGGUGAAAAUAAUGACGGUAGCCAAGAAGGAAGCCCCGGCUAACUACGUGCCAGCAGCCGCGGUAAUACGUAGGGGGCAAGCGUUGUCCGGAAUGAUUGGGCGUAAAGGGCGCGUAGGCGGCCUGGUAAGUCUGGAGUGAAAGUCCUGCUUUUAAGGUGGGAAUUGCUUUGGAUACUGUCGGGCUUGAGUGCAGGAGAGGUAAGCGGAAUUCCCGGUGUAGCGGUGAAAUGCGUAGAGAUCGGGAGGAACACCAGUGGCGAAGGCGGCUUACUGGACUGUAACUGACGCUGAGGCGCGAAAGUGUGGGGAGCAAACAGGAUUAGAAACCCCAGUAGUCC